rnacentral:lncRNA from 1 species
GAGGAUUUGAAAGCAGAAAUCCUCCACCAGGGGUGACCCAAAAACAAAAAAGUCUCAUGAAUGGAGGUAGAUUCCCUCUCGAUCCACACUUGAACUGUCAUGUGCUCUUCCCAAUGACUGUCCUCCCUCCCUAACUGCAGUCACAAAGUACUUCCCAUCUCUAAGCCAAAAAAGAAAAAAAAAAAGAGAGCUCACAGCAACAUCGGUAGUGGUUUUUGUCAUUGAGAUUAGGAAAAGUACAAACCAUGUCGAUUGAGAUCCUUAGUAAUGGAUUGGUUUGUAGCCUUGCGCUUGUCUUCUUCCCCCUCCUCACAGCUCAUGUCUCACGAACUCCUCUCUCUCUCUCUCUCUAUUUCCUUCUUCCUGGACAAUGAUUCUUUCUCCUGUCCUUGGAGAGCAUACAAACUGUCAAGAACAAGCUCAUUAACCAUGUGGGCCAAUCAUGGGUUUGCAGAUCAGCACUGUAGCAUUUUAAAUAUCAGAAUGUGGAGGAGCCAAAUCUGUCACGCACACAUAUUAAAUUGCGUGGAUACAGGUGGACAGUAAUGAGGUGGGUCAUCGAGCUGCACCCUCUGCCUGCAUUAUCUACUCAAAACAAUUGCAGCUACGCAGCUUUAUGGGGGAGCUUACUAAAAGCCUUCUUGCCGGUGGCUGCGAUGCAUCAAAUCUCAU